ACAUGUUGAUUCACCUGCAGACUCGUCCAAUGCCUCAGACUUUGCCAAUGCUACAGGCUCCAUCCAUGUCUUGCCGAGCCAGCGCUCCGAGAUACUGAAGGUGUUAUAGCAGAGAUCAGCAUUAAUGCUAAUGAUGGUAUCCAAGGGAUCAUUGGCUGGCAAAACAAAGACUAUGUGAUAAUUGAGACAAUUGGUGUGUUAACUCUGGUGGUGUACCGUGAUGUCGGGACAUAUGGAAAUGUAUCCCUGUUCUUCUAUGCGCAGAAUCUAGAGGCUCAGCUGGGUCUGGAUUUCAAUGCCACCCCAUCAAUGAUCCAUUUUAUGGAUGGAGAACAGCACAAGUUUAUCGAAGUCCAGAUUUUAGAUGAUACCACUCCUGAAGGGGAUGAGACAUUUCAGUUAAUUCUUGCAAAUCCGUCGGCAGGGCUGCAGCUGGGAGGGAACACUACAGGUCUGGUAUGCUGGGAGACGCUGUACAUACAUGAUUUUCCAUGACCAGUGCCGUAUAAUUUUUCUCUAAUGAGUCUCUGUAGCUACUGUGACUAUUCUGGCCAUUGACUAUGGCCAUGGAAUCAUAUCCUUCAAUAACAGUGAACAUUUCCUGCUGAGGGAGCCCACCUGUGUCAGGUCUUGGGGAGAGUGUGGCCACCCUGUACAUCAUACGAGACCCUCCUCAGGGCGUGUUUGGCACAGUAACGGUCCAGUUCACAAUCACUGAUGCCAAUGGAUCCCUGUACACUGAUGAUCUUACACCUUCCUCUGGCUUUGUGGUACUUGAGGAUGGAGUCACAUUCAAGACUUUGGAGAUCUGGGCUGUUCUGGAUGCUGAGCCAGAGAUGAAUGAGACAUUCACAGUGACUCUGUCCGACCCUAAUGGAGGUGCUCGUCUGGGAAACUCGCUGCAGAUUUACAUCACCAUUAUACAAAAUCAGGCUUCUCUAGGACUCUUCAGAAUAUCACCAUCAUUUAACAGGACUGUAGACACCUUAGGGCUGGGCGAUAUAUCUAACGAAAUAAUGAUGCGCAUCUAGUC